GUUGGUGAACCAGCGGAGGGAUCAUUACAGAGUUGCAAAACUCCCACAAACCAUCGCGAAUCUUACCCGUACGGUUGCCUCGGCGCUGGCGGUCCGGAAGGCCCUCGGGCCCCCGGAUCCUCGGGUCUCCCGCUCGCGGGAGGCUGCCCGCCGGAGUGCCGAAACCAAACUCUUGAUAUUUUAUGUCUCUCUGAGUAAACUUUUAAAUAAGUCAAAACUUUCAACAACGGAUCUCUUGGUUCUG
rnacentral:misc_RNA from 1 species